UUGACCUCGGAUCAGGUAGGAAUACCCGCUGAACUUAAGCAUAUCAAUAAGGCGGAGGAAGGUUUUCAAUUUCCC
rnacentral:rRNA from 1 species